rnacentral:rRNA from 1 species
GUGGGGAAUUUUGGACAAUGGGCGCAAGCCUGAUCCAGCAAUGCCGCGUGCAGGAAGAAGGCCUUCGGGUUGUAAACUGCUUUUGUACGGAACGAAACGGUCCUGGCUAAUACCUGGGGCUAAUGACGGUACCGUAAGAAUAAGCACCGGCUAACUACGUGCCAGCAGCCGCGGUAAUACGUAGGGUGCAAGCGUUAAUCGGAAUUACUGGGCGUAAAGCGUGCGCAGGCGGUUUUGUAAGACAGGCGUGAAAUCCCCGGGCUCAACCUGGGAAUUGCGCUUGUGACUGGAAGGCUGGAGUGCGGCAGAGGGGGAUGGAAUUCCGCGUGUAGCAGUGAAAUGCGUAGAUAUGCGGAGGAACACCGAUGGCGAAGGCAAUCCCCUGGGCCUGCACUGACGCUCAUGCACGAAAGCGUGGGGAGCAAACAGGAUUAGAAACCCGGGUAGUCC